GAUGAACGCUAGCGACAGGCUUAACACAUGCAAGUCGAGGGGCAGCGGGGAGCAGCAAUGCUCUGCCGGCGACCGGCGGACGGGUGAGUAACGCGUAUGCAACCAACCUACCAGCGGGGGAUAAUCCACCGAAAGGUGGUCUAAGACCGCAUAAGACAGGGGCACCGCAUGGUGCUAUUUGUUAAAGGGAACACUGGUAGACGGGCAUGCGUUCCAUUAGGCAGUUGGAGGGGUAACGGCCCACCAAACCGACGAUGGAUAGGGGUUCUGAGAGGAAGGUCCCCCACAUUGGUACUGAGACACGGACCAAACUCCUACGGGAGGCAGCAGUGAGGAAUAUUGGUCAAUGGGCGGAAGCCUGAACCAGCCAAGUCGCGUGAAGGAAGAAGGAUCUAUGGUUUGUAAACUUCUUUUGAAGGGGGAUAAAGUGCGUCACGAGUGGUGCAUUGCAGGUACCCUUGGAAUAAGCAUCGGCUAACUCCGUG
rnacentral:rRNA from 1 species